GAUGAACGCUGGCGGCGUGCUUAACACAUGCAAGUCGAACGGAAAGGCCCUGCUUUUGUGGGGUGCUCGAGUGGCGAACGGGUGAGUAACACGUGAGUAACCUGCCCUUGACUUUGGGAUAACUUCAGGAAACUGGGGCUAAUACCGGAUAGGAGCUCCUGCUGCAUGGUGGGGGUUGGAAAGUUUCGGCGGUUGGGGAUGGACUCGCGGCUUAUCAGCUUGUUGGUGGGGUAGUGGCUUACCAAGGCUUUGACGGGUAGCCGGCCUGAGAGGGUGACCGGCCACAUUGGGACUGAGGUACGGCCCAGACUCCUACGGGAGGCAGCGGUGGGGAAUAUUGCACAAUGGGCGGAAGCCUGAUGCAGCAACGCCGCGUGCGGGAUGACGGCCUUCGGGUUGUAAACCGCUUUCGCCUGUGACGAAGCGUGAGUGACGGUAAUGGGUAAAGAAGCACCGGCUAACUACGUG
rnacentral:rRNA from 1 species